rnacentral:sRNA from 1 species
UGCGUUGUGUAUUGAGGGUAGGUGAGCAAUUUCGAACAGUGCAUAACCAAUGAGCAUGCAUAUCAUAUUUUUGAGCUAUUAAAUUGCGACCUGUAGAUACACACUACAUACAUAUGUAUGAGCUUUUGAGCUUCUUACUGGUAUCCCUCAUUUCCAGCCUAUUCAUAGAGUGGGUUUGUUUGCUUUGAGUGGAGCACCAUUUAGACAAUUGAGUGAGGUGGUGAGUGGUGGCAAUCCACAGACUCCACUUGACCCCGUUCGAGUGCAUUUUUUGUUACCUUCGUUGAGUUCAGGCGACAGGAUAGCAGCAACUCAGACAGAGCCAAGCGGAACUGCCAAAAAUUCAACUCGUCAUGACCUCUCUCUGGCAUUAGCUCUACCUCUCUCUCUAUCUGCAUCUCUCUCACAUACAAUGGGCUUCUCUGAGUGAGUGCGAGAUGGCAAGACCUUAUGGGGUUCAGUGAGUGAGACGCCUGGAAGCAUGAAAAAAUCCUUGAACAUAUUGAUGAACCAGGAGUGCAGUAGUCAGAGCUGCAUCAUGAGUUUCAAAUAACUGGAAUAACUGCUGCCAAGUCAAAGUCAAUGGCACAUUAUCCGCAAUCGGAGCAGGGGAACCACUGCAGAGCAGCGCAGAGCAGAGGAACGGAACGGAACGGAUGGGCCAUGGACCGACCAUUAGAAGAGGCGGAUGAGGGAGGCACCGCAGCGGAGGAAGUGGCUCGAGUUGAGUCUGGCCUCUGCUUAGACAUUCCUUGCAGCUCCCUCAAGGCCGCACAGUAGGCCUUGCAAUUGAGCUUACUCAAAUGUUGGUAUAUGUAUGUGGCUUUAGUUUUGUUGAUGUUCCCGUUAAAAGUGUUGCAAAAUCAAACAAAAAUAUAUACAAUGUCGUAAGGUUUUCGAUUAUUUUAAAGUUCGCGUUGAAGGUACUUUCCCUUCUUUCCAAAAAUGAUUGGUUUCUUUGACCUGCGAACUCUCUUUGCUCCGCUGGAAUAUGGCGUGAGAAUAGCCUCGAGUCUGGUGUCGGCCGUUGGAAACUUUCUGCAGUGCAUGUGGCUGCCACCUUUGAGGCAUACAUAGUUCAUGUCUGUGGCAUACAUCUGCUCUUCUUCAAUCAAAUCUCCAGCAAACAUUUUUGAAAAACUAAAUUUUAAAAUUCAUGUUGCUAAAUUUGACGGAGCUUAGGUCAUUAGAUCACACAAUUCCAAAUAAACAUGUGAUCGUACAACUCACAGAAUAACGUAUAUUUUGAUUUACGCUCAAUCUACCAUCUCGUACCAUCUCUAUACAUAUUUGAUCACUUUUUCCUUAUGCCAUCCACGGUGCCCGUGAAGAAACCUUACUAAGGAGAGGCCAAGUGUUGGCCAGGUUGCAGAUGAAGCCAGACCUGGCCAAAGGAAUGCAAAGCCAACAGACGGACGACCGAAUGAAGAAGAUGUUAACCCACAGGCGGCGGAUGUGUCCAAGAAGCAGGGACCACGACCACGACCACGACCAGGACCCGGACCAGUCGUCCCCCCGAGGGUAGGGGUCUGGGGCUGGGACUGAGACUGAAGCCCAGAAGAAGCGUAAAGAGCAGCAAACAACAGCAGCAUAAGCAAAACGACCAACAACUAAGAGAUGAAGGAACGGAAGAGUACCAACGACAACGACCCUGGGAGCAAAUUCAAUGCAAUAAUACAAAAAAAACUUGCAGAAAAUAUAACUUGGACGCGCCGAUUUAUAUAUA